rnacentral:rRNA from 1 species
UACAGAGGGGGCAAGCGUUAUUCGGAAUUAUUAGGCGUAAAGGGCGCGUAGGCGGCUUGGCAAGUGGAAGGUGAAAUCCCUCGGCUUAACCGAGGAACUGCCCUCCAAACUGCUUCGCUUGAGACCGGGAGAGGUGAGUGGAAUUCCCAGUGUAGCGGUGAAAUGCGUAGAUAUUAGGAAGAACACCCGUGGCUAAGGCGGCUCUCUAGUACGUGACUGACGCUGAGACGCGAAAGCGUGGGGAGCGAACAGG